rnacentral:lncRNA from 1 species
AGAUUUCAACUUUCAAAGAUAUGAUGAUGUAAAUUUGCUUUUUCAUAUCAAUGUUGGCUUCACUUGACUUUUUUUUUUUUUUUUUUGUUGCAGUAGAAACUGUUCUACAGUAAUUGCAAAAGACAAAGGCAUUUAGCUUUGAUAUAGAUUAGGAAUCUAAGAACAAAACUAUGGCAUCACUAAAUCUUGUGAGCAUUCCUCUGCAGCUAACAUAAUGAACAUAUGAUUCUGUUGGUGCUUUCUCUAGAAUAUAGAUUUGUCAGCACCAACACAAGAAGCAAAUGAGCUGCCCUGCAAUGGCUCAACUACUUUCCAACACCCUUUAUUAUUACAAUUUACAAGCACUUGUUUCCUCAUUAUCCUUAUUAAUGUUUUUGGGGGCCUUGAUUACGAAGGUAUCUGCUUUUAGUUGCUAGCUUUAAGCCUUUCUUUUUUCUCUUUGAAUAUGAAAUAAAAUUCUUAUGUUAAACCAUUUGGCAAGGGUUGUGUCUUCACAUAUGAUGCCAUUGGUUCCUAUGAGAGGGUCAGAUACAGCUCUCAAGGUUCUGGUUCAACACUCAUCAUGCCUUCUUGGAUAACCAACUAAAAUCACCCAACCUUCUCCUAUUGCCUGCCAAUGUGUGCUCUUAAUUUUGAUUACUCUUUAUGUUUUGAUUCUUUUAUAAAAGAUUUUCAUCUCUAGUCCUUCACCUGGCAGAAUGCGUUAGUCCACUUAUGGAAGCUGAAGCUGUUGAUUUGGUAAAAACUGUUUUUGCAUCAGCAUCUGAAGAGAUAUCUACACUGUUUGUUUUAUUUGUUAUUGUUUUGGUGAUUGGGUAUCUUCUGAAGGCUGUUUUUUCAAUUCUGGAGCCACAAUAUUGAUUACUUCCAGUGCUAUGUCUCAAACUUAGUCGGCUUUUAAUUUCUUUUUUUUUCCCUUGUAUAUAUGUUGUGAGCUUGAGAAAUGCUCAAUUUAUAGAGAAUUUGAAAGUCUAAACACCUCAAACAAUAGAUGAGCUCCCUUGUUGGUUUUUUCCAUACAGAUGGAUAGGUAACAUGAAUAUCGAACUUGCUGUUGGAGCUUCGAUCUAGUUUACCUUUUGCUAAGAAUGUCUAACUCCAUGUCUGACUCUCCUUUCCUAAUUCAGGGGGAUAAACUCGAAACUGUUGUCUUAAAUCUAAGGAUCUGAGGAAGGAUUGAUGGUGGCUUUCUACUCUGAAUCAGGUAAGAGCUCUUACAGAAGUGGAAUACUUGAAAUUUAGGGAAUGAUCAUGGUUCUUGUGUUAAUGUGUCACUGGCCUAGACUUUGACCAAUCAAACCGUGCAGCCUUAAGUGGAGAAUUCACUUUAAAUUGCCUAACUCAGCCUAAGUCCUCAAAGUUGAAACAACAGAAAGUAAAAAAACUCAAGAAAGCCUUUAGAGUAAAUGCUCUCCAUUCGUGCCUACGGCCGCAUGAUUUGCUCAGUUAAAGUCCAAGCCCAUGACAUCUGCUGGUUGUAUUGAACUGUUUUCUUGCAUUCUGACAGUAGUGAUACUUCAAAUCUUAGUUGAUUUACCUUUGACAUUAGGCUAUAAAAUAGAUUUGAAUAAUCUUUCAUGGAUGGAUAUGGCAUUAACUCAUGAUUACUCUCUUUUGACUAUUUUUGGUAGAUUAGAUAUUAAAUUGUAAAUGCUAGGAUUGGAAUACUAUAAUUU